rnacentral:rRNA from 1 species
UACGGAGGAUCCAAGCGUUAUCCGGAUUUAUUGGGUUUAAAGGGUGCGUAGGUGGGAUAAUAAGUCAGAGGUGAAAGCUAGCAGCUUAACUGUUAAAUUGCCUUUGAUACUGUUAUUCUUGAGUAUAGUUGGCGUUUGGCGGAAUGUGACAUGUAGCGGUGAAAUGCGUAGAUAUGUCACAGAACACCGAUCGCGAAGGCAGCUAACGAAACUAUCACUGACACUGAUGCACGAAAAGCGUGGGGAGCAAACAGG